GCCACUUUGAGGGUCAGGUAUUGGGGACUCCUAGUGCCCCUCCAAUUGCAGGGGGCGAGGAGGUCACGUUUGAUGCAGUUGAAACGGCUGAAAUGGAUGGAGGGCUUGAGAGGACCGGGGUAUCAUCAGUAGCAGAUAUACUGGCCCAAGAUGUUCAUGAGCUUCCUACGAGGCUGUUGCUGAUGUUGAGAGAGAAAUUAUGAAGGCACUGGAGAAGCAAUACAUGGAGAUUCUGAUGCCUCUAAGAGAUGGCAUACCAGAAAAAAUUGAGAAGCAGGUCCGGAGAAUAAC